CUUACUGGAAGUGGAAGUGACAAAAAAAAAAAACCGACACAGUAUGAAUGGCGUGUGAGAGGGUAUGCAUGGUGUGUGCAUGUUUGCGAGUGUAAAUGCGAGUGCGAAUGUGUGUGAAUGCUGAAUGCGUGAUAUUUUUGUACCAAAUCUACACAGUGAUCUUAUUUGAUCCGGUCAUAGUUGCGGCUCGACCGUGACCGGAAGUGAUAGGAACAAACGCUUGCUUAGCCUUCGCGGCUAUGGGCAACUAGCACGAGCACAUUUCUUUAGGGCCUCCACGCUAUAAAGUUGUGGUCAGAGGUGAUGAAUUGAUCAGAUAUACUAGUUCGGAGUGAGUUGGUAUCUUUCCAGACUACUCGACGGACAAUGAGUAAAGAAGCGAUUCUGAUCUAA